UACGUAGGGGGGCAAGCGUUGUCCGGAUUUAUUGGGCGUAAAGAGCGUGUAGGCGGCCAGGUAGGUCUGCUGUGAAACUCGAGGCUCAACCUCGAGACGUCGGCGGAAACCAUCUGGCUAGAGUCCGGAAGAGGAGAGUGGAAUUCCUGGUGUAGCGGUGAAAUGCGCAGAUAUCAGGAAGAACACCCGUGGCGAAGGCGGCUCUCUGGGACGGUACUGACGCUGAGGCGCGAAAGCGUGGGG
rnacentral:rRNA from 1 species